GCCCGAGUGGCGGAAUGGCAGACGCGGCGGUCUCAAAAACCGCUGUCCACAAGACAUGCGGGUUCGAAUCCCGCCUCGGGCA
rnacentral:tRNA from 1 species